rnacentral:lncRNA from 1 species
AGGCUCCAUGGGUGUUCAACUCUCUACAAGGGAGUUGCAGGUUCAUGCUUCUAUUUCUUUUGUUUCUUUCAUUUUCCUUCCGUCUGAUUGCUCCAGAGCCUUUUUUUUUUUCCUCUAGCUUUUCUUCCCUUGAUUUAGAGCUCAGUUUUAAUUGUUUCCAUAUAUUGCUUCCAGCAGUAUUAAAUCAAGGUGAAAGUUCACAGAUGCCCCAUGUGGCCGAAAAGAUGGAGCGAAUGGGUUUUUUCUUGAAUCACAACGGGUGAGUAGUUUCCAUGCUAUGCUUGUCAAGUGAGCAGUCUUUUGCGGGUUGACCUCUCUUUCGUUGUCUGUUCGACCUUGAGCACAUCAUUAUUAGGGCUUAACAAAGCAUAAAGUUCAUUGAAACAGCAUAAUCAAACUAAACCGAUUCAUGUUUCCUUCAAAACAGUAAUAUAUAUCAACGUCAACUCUCUAUAAAGUUUUUAAUCCAAAUCCAUCCUCGUGUUACCCUUUUGAUCUUCUUCAUCACAUUCCUUUGGAAAACUACCUCCCCACUUACUCUUUUCAAGAUCUUAUCUUGAAAUACUAGUAGUUAGCGAGGAUCCCAUAUAGAUCAUAAGAAGCUUUGUGCGCAUGCCCAUAUUGGUGCACAAAUAUCUAGUUAAUUUUAUUUUUGAGUUGGCAUGGUAGGUGUGGAUAACCUAGUAAAUUCCAUUAGCUACUACAGCAGCUUCGCUUAUGACUAACAGGUGCAGUGACCGUUAGCGACAAAAGGAAAUAACACAAUGUAUGAUACGGGGUUGGGACGUAUAUAGAUCAUGAGUUUAAGUUAUUCAACUUUCAACAGCAGGACUUGCACCUUCAAGGUCUUAGCUAGCUAGUUUCUUGUAAUUACCAUCUCAACCAGGUUUUUCUUCAAAUUUUAGUUUUCCAUGCUGUAAAUUAACAUGUUUUAGACUUUCGCCAUCAAGCGAAUGAAUACGUGUCUUUCUUGUACCCAGUGCCUUUAAAAGAUCUGCCUGACAUAUAGACAUACUAGCCCAUGACAAAAAUUUAUUUCCUUAAAUUUCAACGAAUUCAGUACAGGCCAAGCUUAUGAUGCAUGCACGAAAUGGAAUUUUAGAUUUGAAAAAUUAAUAGUUUUAUGAAUCCUUGAAGAUGGUUGUUCAGAUAUAGAGAGUAAUGGUGAAUUUGUUGCAUGAUUUGGUUAAGCUUUAAGCAGAUUCUGAUCUAAUAAAAUUGUACCAAACUCGUAUAUUUUUCGUAGAUGAACCUCUCUAUUCAAAGAUUGAGGUAUGUCGUGCCUUAGUUUACUCUCUCAAAAUUUCAAAUGUAUGCUUGAUGAAUCUUUGAAGUAUUUAG